UACGUAGGUGGCAAGCGUUGUCCGGAAUCACUGGGCGUAAAGCGCACGUAGGCGGCUUUUUAAGUCAGGGGUGAAAUCCUGGAGCUCAACUCCAGAACUGCCUUUGAUACUGAGGAUCUUGAGUUCGGGAGAGGUGAGUGGAACUGCGAGUGUAGAGGUGAAAUUCGUAGAUAUUCGCAAGAACACCAGUGGCGAAGGCGGCUCACUGGCCCGAUACUGACGCUGAGGCACGAAAGCGUGGGGAGCAAACAGG
rnacentral:rRNA from 1 species